UAUCACCUCCAUUGGCGGUGACUUCAUUGGCCACUUCUCCCCUGCCACAGCCACCACCAGCUUCUUCUUCACCGACCACUUCUCCUUUAGUGAUGCUGAGCUCGUACAUCUGGCCAAACUCGACGGUGUUGCCAUGAGAGUAGGGUAUGGCGAAGGCGGCCAUGGGGUUGCGAAUGAACACAGAGACGAUCUCUAUCCCCCACUGCGUCGGCAGCUGCAACAUCUCCACAUUCUCCCGAUGCCAGAAUCGGCUCAGCCCAUCAUCUCCUCCUCCCUCACCACCUCCUACGUCGACGGACUCGACAGAAAGAAUGCCAGCAUCCAUGCAUUGCGCCGUCAUGAGAAGAGGGUCUACCUUCUUAUCCUCUUUCUUCUCCCUUUUCUUCUAAGAUGGCUGGGUGUUCUGAUUUGAUUGAAGCUCCUCGAUCCAGUGGUAGAGGUGCUACUAGAGCUCCUUACAGUGUUGGAAAAUGUGUUCUAAAACCAAUCGUCAACCUGUUGAUGUAAUUGUAUAUGAAUUAAUUAAUAAAAUAUUUAUUUAAUAAUUUUCAUCAUAAACUUGUACAUCUUUUAUAUCGAACUUUUAUAUUAUGAUGAAAGUCUUUAGGACUAUUUUAAAUCGAUAAAAGAGGAUUUAUCCUUUAGUCCUUAAAUGAGUUUGCGACUAAAUGAUAUGCUAUUAC
rnacentral:lncRNA from 1 species